rnacentral:lncRNA from 1 species
UAUUUCUCUGCGGUCAGAAACCUGCACCCUCCCCCCCCAAAUGAAAAAAAAAAAACCCGACCCAGACGAUCAUCACAUGGCGAUUGCUUUGAACCAGCUGUUUCCAGAGCCAAAGUCUUGCGGAGAAAAAUAAAGGGGGAAGGGAGGGAAGGAGGGGAGGGCUGGCAGGGGGGCCGGAGGAGGAGAGAAAGCCGCAGCGGAGGGAGGGCGGGUGGAGAGAGGGCGGGCGGCGGAGCGGCGGGGGGGGCGGGGGAGGGGGGAGCAGCACCGCGGCGGCUGUGUCGCUGCCGGAGCGGCACCCGGGGCCGGCGGCGGUGGCAGCCCGGCCGGUGGAGGCGGAGGAGAGAAGGCGGCGCUGCUGUGCUGCUGCUGCUGCUGCCGCGGCCGCUGCUGCUGCCCGGCUCCGCCGCCCGCCGCCGCCUCCCGCGCCCCGGCCCGGCGCCGCCCCCGCCCCUCAAUCGCUACAUUGUUGACAUUCGCAGGCUGACGUCACCCUCCCCGCCCCGCCGCGCGCUCCAUUCACAACAACACUACGACAACGGCGCAGCGCCCGCCGCCGCGCCUACGCCCGCCGCGGCCCCUACGCACGGGGAGCGGCGUACGGCCGCUCCGCGAAUAGCGGUGGCGCCGCCGGCGCUCCGCCCGCCCCGCCCCUCCGCAAGCGGUCAGCGCAUGCGCGGCACGGGCUCGCUCGCUCCCUCCCUCCCGGGGCCGCGUGUGUGUGUUUGUGUGUGCGUGUCUGUGUCUGUGUAUGUGUGUAUGUAUGUGUGUGUGUGUAUGUAUGUAUGUAUGUGUGUGUGUGUCUGUGUGCAUGUACGUAUGUAUGUGUAUCUGUCUGUGAAUAUGUGUGUGUGUGUGUGUGCGCGCGCGAGAGAGGGGGUGCGUGCUUGCGUGCGUGCGCGCGUGCCGCCAGACCCCGCACCGGGGGUCGCGCCGCCGGCCGCGGGGGGCUCUGGGAGCCGUAGUCCGCCGCGAGGGGCCGCCAUGGCGGCGGGGGUGGCCUGA